rnacentral:rRNA from 1 species
AGGACGAACGCUGGCGGCGUGCUUAACACAUGCAAGUCGAACGGAAAGGCCCUGCUUUUGUGGGGUGCUCGAGUGGCGAACGGGUGAGUAACACGUGAGUAACCUGCCCUUGACUUUGGGAUAACUUCAGGAAACCGGGGCUAAUACCGGAUACGACUUCCUGCGGAAUCUCGGGAAGUGGAAAGUUUUUCGGCUGAGGAUGGGCCCGCGGCCUACCAGCGUUGUUGGUGGGGUAAUGGCCCACCAAGGCGACGACGGGUAG